rnacentral:rRNA from 1 species
GAUGAACGCUGGCGGCGUGCCUAAUACAUGCAAGUCGAGCGAACAGACGAGGAGCUGGCUCCGCUGACGUUAGCGGCGGACGGGUGAGUAACACGUGUAUAACCUACCUCUAAUACUGGGAUAACUUCGGGAAACCGGAGCUAAUACCAGAUAAUAUAUUUAACGGCAUGGUUCAAGAGUGAAAGACGGUUUUGCUGUCACUUAUAGAUGGAUCCGCGCCGCAUUAGCUAGUUGGUAAGGUAACGGCUUACCAAGGCAACGAUGCGUAGCCGACCUGAGAGGGUGAUAGGCCACACUGGAACUGAGACACGGUCCAGACUCCUACGGGAGGCAGCAGUAGGGAAUCUUACGCAAUGGGCGAAAGCUUGACGGAGCAACGCCGCGCGAGUGAUGAAGGCCUUCGGAUCGUAAAGCUCUGUUAUUAGGGAAGAACAAAUGUGUAAGUAACUAUGCACGUCUUGACGGUACCUAAUCAGAAAGCAACGGCUAACUACGUG